UACGUAGGCAGCAAGCGUUGUUCGGAGUUACUGGGCGUAAAGGGUGCGUAGGCGGCUCUGUAAGUAUGGUGUGAAAUCUCCCGGCUUAACUGGGAGGGUGCGCUAUAGACUGCGGGGCUCGAGUGUGGGAGAGGAAAGUGGAAUUCCUGGUGUAGCGGUGAAAUGCGUAGAUAUCAGGAGGAACACCGGUGGUGUAAACGGCUUUCUGGACCAUAACUGACGCUGAGGCACGAAAGCCGUGGGUAGCAAACAGG
rnacentral:rRNA from 1 species